GAUGAACGCUGGCGGCGUGCCUAAUACAUGCAAGUCGAGCGAACGGACGAGAAGCUUGCUUCUCUGAUGUUAGCGGCGGACGGGUGAGUAACACGUGGAUAACCUACCUAUAAGACUGGGAUAACUUCGGGAAACCGGAGCUAAUACCGGAUAAUAUUUUGAACCGCAUGGUUCAAUAGUGAAAGACGGUCUUGCUGUCACUUAUAGAUGGAUCCGCGCUGCAUUAGCUAGUUGGUAAGGUAACGGCUUACCAAGGCAACGAUGCAUAGCCGACCUGAGAGGGUGAUCGGCCACACUGGAACUGAGACACGGUCCAGACUCCUACGGGAGGCAGCAGUAGGGAAUCUUCCGCAAUGGGCGAAAGCCUGACGGAGCAGCGCCGCGUGAGUGAUGAAGGUCUUCGGAUCGUAAAACUCUGUUAUUAGGGAAGAACAUAUGUGUAAGUAACUGUGCACAUCUUGACGGUACCUAAUCAGAAAGCCACGGCUAACUACGUG
rnacentral:rRNA from 1 species